AUUGAACGCUGGCGGCAUGCUUUACACAUGCAAGUCGAACGGUAACAGGCCGCAAGGUGCUGACGAGUGGCGAACGGGUGAGUAAUGCAUCGGAACGUGCCCAGUCGUGGGGGAUAACUACUCGAAAGAGUAGCUAAUACCGCAUGCGAUCUAUGGAUGAAAGCGUGGGACCGUAAGGCCUCGCGCGAUUGGAGCGGCCGAUGUCAGAUUAGGUAGUUGGUGGGGUAAAGGCUCACCAAGCCAACGAUCUGUAGCUGGUCUGAGAGGACAACCAGCCACACUGGGACUGAGACACGGCCCAGACUCCUACGGGAGGCAGCAGUGGGGAAUUUUGGACAAUGGGCGCAAGCCUGAUCCAGCAAUGCCGCGUGCAGGAAGAAGGCCUUCGGGUUGUAAACUGCUUUUGUACGGAACGAAACGGCUCUGGUUAAUACCCGGGGCUAAUGACGGUACCGUAAGAAUAAGCACCGGCUAACUACGUG
rnacentral:rRNA from 1 species